rnacentral:rRNA from 1 species
CUCCUCUGGAUUAGUGGCGAACGGGUGAGUAACACGUGAGCAAUCUGCCCUUGACUCUGGGAUAAGCGCUGGAAACGGCGUCUAAUACCGGAUACGACCCUCGGAGGCAUCUCCUGUGGGUGGAAAGAACUUCGGUCAAGGAUGAGCUCGCGGCCUAUCAGCUUGUUGGUGAGGUAACGGCUCACCAAGGCGACGACGGGUAGCCGGCCUGAGAGGGUGACCGGCCACACUGGGACUGAGACACGGCCCAGACUCCUACGGGAGGCAGCAGUGGGGAAUAUUGCACAAUGGGCGCAAGCCUGAUGCAGCAACGCCGCGUGAGGGACGACGGCCUUCGGGUUGUAAACCUCUUUUAGCAGGGAAGAAGCGAGAGUGACGGUACCUGCAGAAAAAGCACCGGCUAACUACGUGCCAGCAGCCGCGGUAAUACGUAGGGUGCAAGCGUUGUCCGGAAUUAUUGGGCGUAAAGAGCUCGUAGGCGGUCUGUCGCGUCUGCUGUGAAAACCCGAGGCUCAACCUCGGGCUUGCAGUGGGUACGGGCAGACUAGAGUGCGGUAGGGGAGAUUGGAAUUCCUGGUGUAGCGGUGGAAUGCGCAGAUAUCAGGAGGAACACCGAUGGCGAAGGCAGAUCUCUGGGCCGUAACUGACGCUGAGGAGCGAAAGCGUGGGGAGCAAACAGGCUUAGAUACCCUGGUAGUCCACGCCGUAAACGUUGAGAACUAUAUGUGGGG